AAACCAACAGGGAUUGCCUCAGUAACGGCGAGUGAAGCGGCAAAAGCUCGAAUUUGAAAUCUUCGGAAUUGUAAUUAAAUAAAAUUGGCCCGGGAAAAAGUCCAUUGGAAAAUGGCGCCACAGAGGGUGACAGCCCCGUAACCCAUCAGCCUCUUUUUAUUUUUAUGAGUCGAGUUGUUUGGGAAUGCAGCUCAAAGUGGGUGGUAAAUUCCAUCUAAAGCUAAAUAUUGGCGAGAGACCGAUAGCGAACAAGUACAGUGAUGGAAAGAUGAAAAGCACUUUGAAAAGAGAGUGAAAAAGUACGUGAAAUUGUUGGAAGGGAAGGGCUUGCGGGCAGGCUGAUGGCAGAUGGCGCGGGAGUCAAAAGUGGGCGCAACGCACGUUUCGUGCCGACCGCUCAAAUACCUCCUCGCACCUUUUGUUCUCAGAGAAUGGCCGCAAGUCGCCCGUCUUGAAACACGGACCAAGGAGUCUAACGUCUAUGCAAGUGUUUGGACCAUACAUCCAUACGCGGAAUGAAAGUAAGAGAAUGGAGCCAGCUGGCGCACAUUCGACCGACCCAGAAGUGCUCGGACGGGUUUGAGUAGGAGCAUAGCUGUUGGGACCCGAAAGAUGGUGAACUAUACCUGGAUAGGGUGAAGCCAGAGGAAACUCUGGUGGAGGCUCGUAGCGGUUGCGAGCGGCAUACAG
rnacentral:rRNA from 2 species